AUGCAAGUCGAACGGGAUCCUUCGGGAUUUAGUGGCGGACGGGUGAGUAACGCGUGAGAAUCUGCCCUUAGGUUGGGGACAACAGUUGGAAACGACUGCUAAUACCCAAUGUGCCGAGAGGUGAAAGGUUAACUGCCUGGGGAUGAGCUCGCGUCUGAUUAGCUAGUUGGAGUGGUAACGGCACACCAAGGCGACGAUCAGUAGCUGGUCUGAGAGGAUGAUCAGCCACACUGGGACUGAGACACGGCCCAGACUCCUACGGGAGGCAGCAGUGGGGAAUUUUCCGCAAUGGGCGAAAGCCUGACGGAGCAAGACCGCGUGAGGGAGGAAGGCCUAUUGGUUGUAAACCUCUUUUGAUAGGGAAGAACACAAUGACGGUACCUAUCGAAUCAGCAUCGGCUAACUCCGUGCCAGCAGCCGCGGUAAUACGGAGGAUGCAAGCGUUAUCCGGAUUUAUUGGGCGUAAAGCGUCCGUAGGUGGCAAACCAAGUCAGUUGUUAAAGCGUAGAGCUUAACUCUAUAAGGGCAAUUGAAACUGGUUAGCUAGAGUGCGAUAGGGGCAAGGGGAAUUCCCAGUGUAGCGGUGAAAUGCGUAGAUAUUGGGAAGAACAUCGGUGGCGAAGGCGCCUUGCUGGGUCUGCACUGACACUGAGGGACGAAAGCUAGGGGAGCGAAAGGGAUUAGAUACCCCUGUAGUCCUAGCCGUAAACGAUGGAUACUAGGCGUUGUCCGUAUCGACCCGAGCCGUGCCGAAGC
rnacentral:rRNA from 1 species